rnacentral:rRNA from 1 species
CAGUCGCCACGGUAAUACGGAGGGGGCUAGCGUUGUUCGGAAUUACUGGGCGUAAAGCGUACGUAGGCGGCUUUCUAAGUCAGGGGUGAAAGCCUGGAGCUCAACUCCAGAAUUGCCCUUGAGACUGGAUCGCUUGAACGUCGGAGAGGUGAGUGGAAUUCCGAGUGUAGAGGUGAAAUUCGUAGAUAUUCGGAAGAACACCAGUGGCGAAGGCGGCUCACUGGACGACUGUUGACGCUGAGGUACGAAAGCGUGGGGAGCAAACAGGAUUAGAUACCCCGGUAGUCCCUGUCUCUUAUAC